CUUUAAAUAGUGUAGUUAAGCAUUGUUUGUUUUCAUCAAAUAGGUAAUCUAUUUUUAAAGU
rnacentral:tRNA from 1 species